rnacentral:rRNA from 1 species
UGCCAGCAGCCGCGGGUAAUACGAAGGGACCUAGCGUAGUUCGGAAUUACUGGGCUUAAAGAGCUCGUAGGUGGUUAAAAAAGUUGAUGGUGAAAUCCCAAGGCUCAACCUUGGAACAGCCAUCAAAACUUUUUAGCUAGAGUAUGAUAGAGGUAAGUGGAAUUCCUGGUGUAGCAGUGAAAUGCGUGGAUAUCAGGAGGAACAUCAAUGGCGAAGGCAACUUACUGGACAUUUACUGACGCACAGACACGAAGGCUAGGGUAGCGAAAGGGAUUAGAUA